CACUUCACUUCAGACACAUCUCGAAACACAGAGUCGUUUGUCUUUUCGUAAUCUCUCAAUCUCCGGCAAACUUUACAUCUCCCCAUCUUCGAUAACUUCUUCAUUAAUGGCCCCGUUUCGUAUCAUCUUUGUUAACCCUUCUUAUAUAAACUUCAUCAUAGAUCGAGGAAAUCUACAUCUCGAAAAACGGCUCGAUUCCUUACUAGGUUUUCUUUACAGCAUCUCAUCGAAAACGUCUCUCUCUACUUCUCCAGUUGCUCAAACCGGAGCAGUGCAUCUCAUAUCAAGUCAAAGCUUUAUUGAACCAGCGCAGAUUUCAACCCAUCAUUGACAAUGUCCUCCUCCGCUGCUAGCCUGCCACUGUUGCUCAAACAGUAGUCUCCUAUCUCUGCCUUGGUCUGACUUCUCAGUUCGUUGUUGGCCGGAUCGUCCGCUUUUAGGAUUCAAGGACCAUCAAAAAGAAUGGUGAAUUCGUGGUUAAGGGAUCUUUGACGAAUGUUUGCAUAUCGGGAAAGCAAGGCUCUGCUUCACAUAAUAAAGCUGCUCACUCCUGGGUUUUAUUUUAGGUGUAAAACCGUGUCUACGUCGGAGUUCAUACGAGUCCUCACUGCUGCAGAUCGGUUUCAUAAAGGUCUGGGGCAGAUUGUUAUUCAAGAAUGAUUAGGAUGUUGACUCGCCUGUAAGAGUGAGGGUUUUACCUUCCAUCUCUGAGUUGUUUCACCUUCCAUCUCUGAGUUGUUUCACUCUCUUAGGCCACCAGAGCAACAAUUCAAGGAAUAGAGGUCAAGCGUGAUUAAGGGAAUGGAAACUUUCUUUGGUUGUUGGGCUGAGGGGAUAGAACUGAUACAGUGGAAAAAAACAUAUUUGGGAAGGAGCAAAGUGUCCGCUGUAUUGUCACUUCUGAAGUCAUUGCAGUCUCAAACCAAACAUGGAGUGUUUGAACCAUAAUAAGGUUAUUUAAGUCUGUGAUGGAUUCUGAAGCAUCUCAAGACUACUGCCUUUUGAGAACACGCUCUACACCAAAGCAAGAAAAAGAGGAAGCGGAUUGCAGAAGUGAAGAUGAAAUCAUAAUAACCUUGAGGACAAGGUUUUUCAAAGGGGGAGUAAUGAUAAGUUUGGUAAUUUGGCUGUCACGAACAAAAUUGUGAAGCCAAAUUAAAUUUGAAGCUUUUAUGCAAAUAACUAGAGUUUUUUUGUUGACGAUAA